rnacentral:lncRNA from 12 species
GGGAGGUCAUUAUGAAAAGAAGGAAAAAAACAAAAAGGGAAAUUUGUCAGCAUGUUUUUGAGUAGAUCUCCUAAUGUUAGGAGCUAGAAAAGCAUUUCUUUGGAGACCUAGGCCAUUUCUAACAGUUUCUUUUGAAAUCACUAAUUAUGCUCUAAAAGAGAAGGCAUCAUCGGAGCCAGAACCAGCAGCCAAUUACCCACAAGAAAUCGCUCACUGUGUGGGCUGCCUUCUCUCUCUGUUCGCAUAAUUUCAAAAUGUAAUUUCUAGAAUCAUGCUAAAUACUUGUAAACAGAGAUUGGUUUAAUUGCAAGGAGGAACAAUUUCAGGGGAUAAAAAUGAGAGUUGUUUCUCAUUUUGUCGAUAACAGAGCAGUCCUCCUUGGGUCAGAUUUGCAGUUCCCAUCUGUCUUCCCACUCAACUCAGGUCUCUCUCUAACUCGCAUGAGAGGUGCUGACCUCUACAGGAUGCUACGGAGUCAUGGAAAGAGUAAAGCACUUGAAGUCAGAAGGUACUUCUGGGAGAAGAAGACAGACAUCUCUACCUGGGGUCUUUCUAUUUGUUAUUCAGGUAAGAAGAGGUGUGAGGGAGGAAGGGAAGCUCUGAGAUGGGGGAGGAGAGACAGAGGGUCCCUCACUCGCUCCUAAAAGCUCAGUCACAGACCCUGUUUUAUCCUGAAGGGGAAUUCUGAUAUGUGUCUGUACACAAAUUCCCAAGCCUUUUAGAAACAGGCGGGCCUGGAGCACAGAAGUCUUCACCGGGGUGGGAUUUAGAGAGAACAGUUUGACAAGCCUUUUCCAGGCUGGGAGGAGCUUGGGAAAAGCUCUUGUUUGUCCAUCGACAAAAAACUUGCUCAGAAAGGAGAAGGCAGGUGCAGUUCAGCCAUUGUAAAAAAGACUUCUGUUCUUUCUCUCUCAAUGAAAGGAUUUAGAAAAAAAAAAAAAAGAGCUGCAGAGUCCUUAAGGAGUCUUGAGAUGGACUUUUUAUCUGCAUUGCUUCUCUCCAGGUGGCUUAAUUUUAUUUGCCUUUUGAAAAAUGGGGCUGUGUCAAUAGCAGCCCGUCACUCCAUUAGCCGGGCUGAGGGGCAGAGGUCACACCGGUAGAUGGGGACGGAGCGGGGCGGUCCCCCUCCGGGCUCUUUGGAAUUCUCCUUGUGGCCCACGCGCCCGUGAUGGGCUGCUGACGGGCAGUGACCCGCGCU